rnacentral:rRNA from 1 species
GACGAACGCUGGCGGCGUGCCUAAUACAUGCAAGUCGAGCGCAGGAAAUCAUCCGAACCUUUCGGGGGGACGUUGAUGGAAUGAGCGGCGGACGGGUGAGUAACACGUAAAGAACCUGCCCUCAGGUCUGGGAUAACCACGAGAAAUCGGGGCUAAUACCGGAUGGGUCAUCGGACCGCAUGGUCCGAGGAUGAAAGGCGCUUCGGAGUCGCCUGGGGAUGGCUUUGCGGUGCAUUAGCUAGUUGGUGGGGUAAUGGCCCACCAAGGCGACGAUGCAUAGCCGACCUGAGAGGGUGAUCGGCCACACUGGGACUGAGACACGGCCCAGACUCCUACGGGAGGCAGCAGUAGGGAAUCUUCCACAAUGGACGAAAGUCUGAUGGAGCAACGCCGCGUGAACGAUGAAGGCCUUCGGGUCGUAAAGUUCUGUUGUAAGGGAAGAACAAGUGCCGCAGGCAAUGGCGGCACCUUGACGGUACCUUGCGAGAAGGCCACGGCUAACUACGUGCCAGCAGCCGCUGUAA